rnacentral:rRNA from 1 species
UACGGAGGGUGCAAACGUUGCUCGGAAUCAUUGGGCGUAAAGCGUGUGUAGGCGGUUUGUUAAGUCGGGUGUGAAAGCCCUGGGCUCAACCCAGGAAGUGCAUUCGAAACUGGCAAACUUGAGUACGGGAGAGGGUCGCGGAAUUCCCGGUGUAGAGGUGAAAUUCGUAGAUAUCGGGAGGAACACCAGUGGCGAAGGCGGCGACCUGGACCGAUACUGACGCUGAGACACGGAAAGCGUGGGGAGCAAACAGGG